AUGGCGUCUUCCGUGGGCAACGUGGCCGACAGCACAGAACCAACGAAACGUAUGCUUUCCUUCCAAGGGUUAGCUGAGUUGGCACAUCGAGAAUAUCAGGCAGGAGAUUUUGAGGCAGCUGAGAGACACUGCAUGCAGCUCUGGAGACAAGAGCCAGACAAUACUGGUGUGCUUUUAUUACUUUCAUCUAUACACUUCCAGUGUCGAAGGCUGGACAGAUCUGCUCACUUUAGCACUCUGGCAAUUAAACAGAACCCCCUUCUGGCAGAAGCUUAUUCGAAUUUGGGGAAUGUGUACAAGGAAAGAGGGCAGUUGCAGGAGGCAAUUGAGCAUUAUCGACAUGCAUUGCGUCUCAAACCUGAUUUCAUCGAUGGUUAUAUUAACCUGGCAGCCGCCUUGGUAGCAGCGGGUGACAUGGAAGGGGCAGUACAAGCUUACGUCUCUGCUCUUCAGUACAAUCCUGAUUUGUACUGUGUUCGCAGUGACCUGGGGAACCUGCUCAAAGCCCUGGGUCGCUUGGAAGAAGCCAAGACUUGAGACUGUCCUCAUUCCCAUAUGUAAUAGACAUCCAAAGAAUUUCAAUUGCUUUGUUGAACUUUUA
rnacentral:sRNA from 1 species